rnacentral:tRNA from 1 species
GCCUGGGUGGCUCAGUCAGUUAAGCGUCUGACUUGGGCUCAGGUCAUGAUCUCAUGGUUUGUGGGUUCAAGCCCCACAUCAUGCU